CGAGUUUUAUGAAACAAACAAAUAAACAUAAUAAGUGAACCCGUACAUUAACAUGAGAAGUCCAAUUUCUAUAAUUUUACUAAUUUGAUAAAUAGACAUCAAGAUUGGACUGGCAGCAGAGAUUUACUUACAUUUAAAUUCGGGGUAAAUUAAGUGCAUGGAUGUUGUUGUAUAAUUCUAGCUACAUUUCUAUGUAAUAUGAAGAGAC
rnacentral:lncRNA from 1 species